rnacentral:snRNA from 1 species
GUGCUUGCUUCGGCAGCACAUAUACUAAAAUUGGAAUGAUACAGAGAAGAUUAGCAUGGCCCCUGUGCAAGGAUGACAUGCAAAUUCAUGAAGCGUUCCAUAUUUUU